GUAGUCCACGCCGUAAACGAUGUCGACUAGCCGUUGGGAACCUUAGAGUUUCUUGUGGCGAAGCUAACGCGAUAAGUCGACCGCCUGGGGAGUACGGCCGCAAGGUUAAAACUCAAAUGAAUUGACGGGGGCCCGCACAAGCGGUGGAGCAUGUGGUUUAAUUCGAUGCAACGCGAAGAACCUUACCAGGUCUUGACAUCCUGCGAACUUUCUAGAGAUAGAUUGGUGCCUUCGGGAGCGCAGAGACAGGUGCUGCAUGGCUGUCGUCAGCUCGUGUUGUGAAAUGUUGGGUUAAGUCCCGUAACGAGCGCAACCCUUGUCCUUAGUUGCCAGCGAGUAAUGUCGGGAACUCUAAGGAGACUGCCGGUGACAAACCGGAGGAAGGUGGGGACGACGUCAAGUCAUCAUGGCCCUUACGACCUGGGCUACACACGUGCUACAAUGGCCGGUACAGACGGUUGCAAACCCGCGAGGGGGAGCCAAUCCGAGAAAACCGGUCGUAGUCCGGAUUGCAGUCUGCAACUCGACUGCAUGAAGUCGGAAUCGCUAGUAAUCGCGGAUCAGCAUGCCGCGGUGAAUA
rnacentral:rRNA from 1 species